GGAACUCUGAUGCAUCUAUGCCGCGCGAGCGAAGAAGGCCUUUGGGUUGUAAAGCUCUUUUGUAGGGGAAGAUAAUGACUGUACCCUAAGAAUAAGGUCCGGCUAACUUCGUGCCAGCAGCCGCGGUAAUACGAAGGGACCUAGCGUAGUUCGGAAUUACUGGGCGUAAAGCGCGCGUAGGCCGUUGAGUUAGUUAAUUGUGAAAUCCCAAAGCUUAACUUUGGAACUGCAAUUACAACUGCUCGACUAGAGUUUGAUAGAGGAAAGCGGAAUACAUAGUGUAGAGGUGAAAUUCGUAGAUAUUAUGUAGAA
rnacentral:rRNA from 1 species